UACGAACCGUACAAACGUUAUUCGGAAUCACUGGGCUUAAAGGGUGCGCAGGCGGAUAUGUAAGUCAGUGGUGAAAUCUCUAGGCUUAACCUGGAAAUUGCCGUUGAUACUAUAUAUCUUGAAUGCUGUGGAGGUAAGCGGAAUAUGUCAUGUAGCGGUGAAAUGCUUAGAUAUGACAUAGAACACCUAUUGCGAAGGCAGCUUACUACGCAGAUAUUGACGCUCAUGCACGAAAGCGUGGGGAUCAAACAGGA
rnacentral:rRNA from 1 species